GUCUACGGCCAUACCACUUUGAGCAUGCCUAAACUCAUCUGGUCUCAGAAGCUAAGCAGAGUCGAGCCUGGUUAGUACUUGGAUGGGGGAAAGAGAGCUUCAGAGGAGAUUGCUCAGAGACAAGCAGUCUGGAGACA
rnacentral:rRNA from 1 species